GUCAAAUUUUGCUUAUUUGUUUGAAAAUUGAUGAAUGGAAGUAUUUAAUCUUAUGAAUUUUGCCAAAUGCUCUUUACUGGCGUGAUAAAUCUCCACGCUUGUUAGGUUUACAUGCAAUUUCAUUUAAUAGGAUACAGCAUGGCUUGUCUGAGUUAUUUAUCUGAUGCAUUAUUCAAUUUUAUUUCUAAUGCUUAUAUCUACA
rnacentral:misc_RNA from 1 species